rnacentral:lncRNA from 1 species
CGCAUAUUUUUAUUAAGAAAAUAGAUAUUUUGUACUCAUGGAUAAUAAUUGUGUUCGAGUUUUACUAUUUAUCGCUUAUCAAAAUUUAUUUUUUUUAAAUAUUAUGAAAUAACAGUAGCCGUUCUGGAAUGAAUAAUAAAUAGUUAUAAUUAAUGAAAUAAAUAUUUAAAUUGGACUUUUGUUUUACUUUCAGCUUCUAUGAUUUUCUUACUGCUUUUAAUGAAUGGCAAAUGAAUGGCUUAACCCAUGGCAUCUUUGACGCAGAGCUUUUCCAUUUGAUCGGAAUAGAAGCCGUUAAAGUUGAUUCGAUGCACUAGAUUCAUAAAGCGAUCGGAGGUGUUCUUCUUAGCCAUAUUGUUAAUUUGCUUGAGAAAAUUUAUCAGCAGUCCAGUAAAUUCCAGAUCGAAGAGUUUGACGACCUCUGAAAACUUAUCUGUCGGAUCCAAAGAUGUCUCCAACUGGCAGAAGGAAUAUAAAUUAAGUAAGUAUUAUAUUUUCAUGAGCGGUGCAGAGCUAGA